GAUGAACGCUGGCGGCGUGCCUAAUACAUGCAAGUCGAGCGAACAGACGAGGAGCUUGCUCCUCUGACGUUAGCGGCGGACGGGUGAGUAACACGUGGAUAACCUACCUAUAUGACUGGGAUAACUUCGGGAAACCGGAGCUAAUACCGGAUAAUAUAUUGAACCGCAUGGUUCAAUAGUGAAAGACGGUUUUGCUGUCACUUAUAGAUGGAUCCGCGUCGCAUUAGCUAGUUGGUAAGGUAACGGCUUACCAAGGCAACGAUGCGUAGCCGACCUGAGAGGAUGAUCCGCCACACUGGAACGGAGACACGGUACAGACUCCUACGGGAGGAAGCAGUGGGGAAUAUUGGACAAUGGGCGCAAGCCUGAUCCAGCCAUACCGCGUGGGAGAAGAAGGCUUUCGGGUUGUAAAGCCCUUUUGUUGGGAAAGAAAAGAAACAGGUUAAUAACCCGCUGUUCUGACGGUACCCAAAGAAUAAGCACCGGCUAACUUCGUG
rnacentral:rRNA from 1 species